UACGUAGGGACCGAGCGUUGUCCGGAAUCAUUGGGCGUAAAGAGCGUGUAGGCGGCUAUUUAAGUCCUGCGUGAAAUCCUGCGGCUCAACCGCAGACGGUCGUGGGAAACUGGAUGGCUAGAGUGCGGGAGAGGAGAGUGGAAUUCCCGGUGUAGCGGUGAAAUGCGCAGAUAUCGGGAAGAACACCCGUGGCGAAGGCGGCUCUCUGGGACGGUACUGACGCUGAGACGCGAAAGCGUGGGGAGCAAACAGG
rnacentral:rRNA from 1 species